UACGGAGGGUGCAAGCGUUAUCCGGAUUCACUGGGUUUAAAGGGUGCGUAGGUGGGCAAGUAAGUCAGUGGUGAAAUCUCCGGGCUUAACCCGGAAACUGCCAUUGAUACUAUUUGUCUUGAAUACUGUGGAGGUCAGCGGAAUAUGUCAUGUAGCGGUGAAAUGCUUAGAUAUGACAUAGAACACCGAUAGCGAAGGCAGCUUACUACAUGAAGAUUGACGCUGAGGCACGAAAGCGUGGGGAGCAAACAGG
rnacentral:rRNA from 1 species